rnacentral:rRNA from 1 species
GACGAACGCUGGCGGCGUGCCUAAUACAUGCAAGUCGAACGCAGUGGGGCCGGGUGAGUAACAUGUGGGUAACCUCCCAUCAGAGGGGAUACCCUUUGGAAACAGGUGCUCAACCGAUAUCGAUGGAUGGACCCGCGGUGCAUUAGCUAGUUGGUGAGGUAACGACGUACCAAGGCAACGAUCCAUAGCUGACCUGAUAGGUUGAUCCGCCCAACUGGGACUGAGACACGGCCCAGACUCCUACGGGAGGCAGCAGUAGGGAAUCUUGGACAAUGGGCGAAAGUCUGACCGAGCAAUGCCGCGUGAGUGAAGAAGGUUUUCGGAUCGUAAAACUCUGUUGUUAGAGAGGCGGUAUCUAACCAGAAAGCCACGGCUAACUACGUGCCAGCAGCCGCGGUAAUAC